rnacentral:rRNA from 1 species
GGGUUGUGAGGUUAAGCGACUAAGCGUACACGGUGGAUGCCCUGGCAGUCAGAGGCGAUGAAGGACGUGCUAAUCUGCGAUAAGCGUCGGUAAGGUGAUAUGAACCGUUAUAACCGGCGAUUUCCGAAUGGGGAAACCCAGUGUGAUUCGUCACACUAUCAUUAACUGAAUCCAUAGGUUAAUGAGGCGAACCGGGGGAACUGAAACAUCUAAGUACCCCGAGGAAAAGAAAUCAACCGAGAUUCCCCCAGUAGCGGCGAGCGAACGGGGAGCAGCCCAGAGCCUGAAUCAGUGUGUGUGUUAGUGGAAGCGUCUGGAAAGGCGUGCGAUACAGGGUGACAGCCCCGUACACAAAAAUGCACAUGCUGUGAGCUCGAUGAGUAGGGCGGGACACGUGGUAUCCUGUCUGAAUAUGGGGGGACCAUCCUCCAAGGCUAAAUACUCCUGACUGACCGAUAGUGAACCAGUACCGUGAGGGAAAGGCGAAAAGAACCCCGGCGAGGGGAGUGAAAAAGAACCUGAAACCGUGUACGUACAAGCAGUGGGAGCACAGAGCAAUCUGUGUGACUGCGUACCUUUUGUAUAAUGGGUCAGCGACUUAUAUUCUGUAGCAAGGUUAACCGAAUAGGGGAGCCGAAGGGAAACCGAGUCUUAACUGGGCGUUAAGUUGCAGGGUAUAGACCCGAAACCCGGUGAUCUAGCCAUGGGCAGGUUGAAGGUUGGGUAACACUAACUGGAGGACCGAACCGACUAAUGUUGAAAAAUUAGCGGAUGACUUGUGGCUGGGGGUGAAAGGCCAAUCAAACCGGGAGAUAGCUGGUUCUCCCCGAAAGCUAUUUAGGUAGCGCCUCGUGAAUUCAUCUCCGGGGGUAGAGCACUGUUUCGGCAAGGGGGUCAUCCCGACUUACCAACCCGAUGCAAACUGCGAAUACCGGAGAAUGUUAUCACGGGAGACACACGGCGGGUGCUAACGUCCGUCGUGAAGAGGGAAACAACCCAGACCGCCAGCUAAGGUCCCAAAGUCAUGGUUAAGUGGGAAACGAUGUGGGAAGGCCCAGACAGCCAGGAUGUUGGCUUAGAAGCAGCCAUCAUUUAAAGAAAGCGUAAUAGCUCACUGGUCGAGUCGGCCUGCGCGGAAGAUGUAACGGGGCUAAACCAUGCACCGAAGCUGCGGCAGCGACGCUUAUGCGUUGUUGGGUAGGGGAGCGUUCUGUAAGCCUGCGAAGGUGUGCUGUGAGGCAUGCUGGAGGUAUCAGAAGUGCGAAUGCUGACAUAAGUAACGAUAAAGCGGGUGAAAAGCCCGCUCGCCGGAAGACCAAGGGUUCCUGUCCAACGUUAAUCGGGGCAGGGUGAGUCGACCCCUAAGGCGAGGCCGAAAGGCGUAGUCGAUGGGAAACAGGUUAAUAUUCCUGUACUUGGUGUUACUGCGAAGGGGGGACGGAGAAGGCUAUGUUGGCCGGGCGACGGUUGUCCCGGUUUAAGCGUGUAGGCUGGUUUUCCAGGCAAAUCCGGAAAACUAAGGCUGAGGCGUGAUGACGAGGCACUACGGUGCUGAAGCAACAAAUGCCCUGCUUCCAGGAAAAGCCUCUAAGCAUCAGGUAACAUCAAAUCGUACCCCAAACCGACACAGGUGGUCAGGUAGAGAAUACCAAGGCGCUUGAGAGAACUCGGGUGAAGGAACUAGGCAAAAUGGUGCCGUAACUUCGGGAGAAGGCACGCUGAUAUGUAGGUGAAGCGACUUGCUCGUGGAGCUGAAAUCAGUCGAAGAUACCAGCUGGCUGCAACUGUUUAUUAAAAACACAGCACUGUGCAAACACGAAAGUGGACGUAUACGGUGUGACGCCUGCCCGGUGCCGGAAGGUUAAUUGAUGGGGUUAGCGCAAGCGAAGCUCUUGAUCGAAGCCCCGGUAAACGGCGGCCGUAACUAUAACGGUCCUAAGGUAGCGAAAUUCCUUGUCGGGUAAGUUCCGACCUGCACGAAUGGCGUAAUGAUGGCCAGGCUGUCUCCACCCGAGACUCAGUGAAAUUGAACUCGCUGUGAAGAUGCAGUGUACCCGCGGCAAGACGGAAAGACCCCGUGAACCUUUACUAUAGCUUGACACUGAACAUUGAGCCUUGAUGUGUAGGAUAGGUGGGAGGCUUUGAAGUGUGGACGCCAGUCUGCAUGGAGCCGACCUUGAAAUACCACCCUUUAAUGUUUGAUGUUCUAACGUUGACCCGUGAUCCGGGUUGCGGACAGUGUCUGGUGGGUAGUUUGACUGGGGCGGUCUCCUCCUAAAGAGUAACGGAGGAGCACGAAGGUUGGCUAAUCCUGGUCGGACAUCAGGAGGUUAGUGCAAUGGCAUAAGCCAGCUUGACUGCGAGCGUGACGGCGCGAGCAGGUGCGAAAGCAGGUCAUAGUGAUCCGGUGGUUCUGAAUGGAAGGGCCAUCGCUCAACGGAUAAAAGGUACUCCGGGGAUAACAGGCUGAUACCGCCCAAGAGUUCAUAUCGACGGCGGUGUUUGGCACCUCGAUGUCGGCUCAUCACAUCCUGGGGCUGAAGUAGGUCCCAAGGGUAUGGCUGUUCGCCAUUUAAAGUGGUACGCGAGCUGGGUUUAGAACGUCGUGAGACAGUUCGGUCCCUAUCUGCCGUGGGCGCUGGAGAACUGAGGGGGGCUGCUCCUAGUACGAGAGGACCGGAGUGGACGCAUCACUGGUGUUCGGGUUGUCAUGCCAAUGGCACUGCCCGGUAGCUAAAUGCGGAAGAGAUAAGUGCUGAAAGCAUCUAAGCACGAAACUUGCCCCGAGAUGAGUUCUCCCUGACUCCUUGAGAGUCCUGAAGGAACGUUGAAGACGACGACGUUGAUAGGCCGGGUGUGUAAGCGCAGCGAUGCGUUGAGCUAACCGGUACUAAUGAACCGUGAGGCUUAACCUUACAACGCCGAAG